CAGCAGCCGCGGGAAUACGUAGGUGGCAAGCGUUGUCCGGAAUUAUUGGGCGUAAAGCGCGCGCAGGCGGUUUCUUAAGUCUGAUGUGAAAGCCCCCGGCUCAACCGGGGAGGGUCAUUGGAAACUGGGAAACUUGAGUGCAGAAGAGGAGAGUGGAAUUCCUCGUGUAGCGGUGAAAUGCGUAGAGAUGUGGAGGAACACCAGUGGCGAAGGCGACUCUCUGGUCUGUGACUGACGCUGAGGAGCGAAAGCGUGGGGAGCGAACAGGAUUAGAUACCCGUGUAGUCCCUGUCUCUUAUAC
rnacentral:rRNA from 1 species